GAUUCGUACUUACUGAAUAUCAGAAGCUACUCCCUUUUCAACCCCUCCUUUUUCUGCGUGGCAGUUGCUGCGUGGCAGUUGCAACCCCUCCUUUUUCUGCGUGGCAGUUGCAACCCCUCCUUUUUCUGUGUGGCAGUUGCUGCAUGGCAGUUGCAGUCCCUCCUUCUUCUGUGUGGCAGUUGCUGCGUGGCAGUUGCAACCCCUCGUUUUUCUGCGUGGCAGUUGCUGCGUGGCAGUUGCAACCCCUCCUUUUUCUGCGUGGCAGUUGCUGCGUGGCAGUUGCAACCCCUCCUUUUUCUGUGUGGCAGUUGCAACGCCUCCUUUUUCGGCGUGUCAGUUGCUAUGUGGCAGUUGCAACCCCUCCUUUUUCUGUGUGGCAGUUGAAAAUGAAAGUACCUCCAACCGGUUCCCUCCUGCAACCAAUCAGACUGAUUUGCGCAGAAUGAACCAGUGGGAAACCUAUAGAGGGUAUUUAAACCCCAGAAAAUUCUGUAAUCAAUGCUCUUGAGCUGCUUGCUCAAGGCCUUUCCUUCCCUAUGGAGUGUACUUUGUUUAAAUCCCUGCCUUCACUGCCUUGCUUUGUUUGUGUGUUUUGUUCAAUUCUCUGUUAAAAACGCCAAGAACCUGGACAACUACCCUAAACAGGCAACAAAAGCACAAAGACGUUGUACACAAAAAUAUUUUCCUUCUGUAUAUCUUUAUUCUAGAAGUUUUUUUCUAUUUAUUUAUUUAUUUUUUAUUUUGAUUGUUUUUUGCCGUUAACAUUUUUUUGUUAAAAAGUAAGACCAAAACACACUUGUUAGCCUGGGCCUACACAGGGUCAUUAAGACAUCACUAAGCAACAGGAAUUUUUUCAGAUCCAUUAUAAUCUUAUGGGACCACAGUGUAUAUGCGGUCUGUUGUUGACCAAAAUAUUGUUGUGUGACACAUUAAUGGGGUGAGGAUAUUAUUCUCUAUUAUUAUCUUAUGUAAUUUUUAAAUGCCAUCAGAUAAAACACAGAAGGGAGCACAGAGCUGCCUGGUCCUGCAGCUCUCCUGGAGUGAGGUGGUGCUGCUAACCACUGGAAGCUGAAGUCCAGAGGCUCUAUUCAGUCAAGGGGUGAUGAACUCUCUUUGGGUCUGGAGACAGGCUGGAACUGGGAUGAGAUAUGGAGACCCUGCCAUUUACGACAACGUGGAUGUAUCUGCAGGACAUUAAGACAAGUGCAAUAAGCAAGACACGGAAAGAAAAUAUAGCAUGGUCUCUCUUAUAUGUGGAAUUUUAAAAAUUAACUCUGAAUACUUUGGAUUAAACUGCUCUGAAAAAUCAAAUCUGUCCAUGGCAGUGCUAGCAUACUGUCUAUUAGAUUAAAUGAAGCUGUAAGCAUCUUUGAAGUACAAAUGAUACUUGGAAAGUAAAUGAAACUGGGAAUACUUGCAAGUAAAAUAUGGGAAGUCAAAGAGAUUAAAGGAUGAGAACCAGAAAUUGCUUAUGGCCAGUGUCCUGAGUAAGCCUCAGAAUCGCAUCCUAGAAGCAUCAAGUUCUUGUGUUACCCUAUGGAUCUAAAAAACGACUUCCUUAGUUUGAUGUAGUCUGCAGACAUCUCAUCAUCACAAAAACUUGAAAGCACUUACAGCACUAAGAAACUACCUUUGCAGAUUGUAAAAAAAGAUAGAAUCCUACUUAGUGUUUUGAUCACACCUGCCUAUUUCCCCAAGGUUUUACUGCAGGGUUAAAGAAUGAAUAAGCAUCUAGUUAUAUUUAAUAAACUCCAUGCCUUAUGGCUGAUUCUAAAGGCACAUGGCUUUGUUA
rnacentral:lncRNA from 1 species